CCCCCCAGCAAGAACAUAAGUAUUGGGGGUAAUGCCUGCCCAGUGACACUGUUAAACGGCCGCGGUAUCCUAACCGUGCAAAGGUAGCGUAAUCACUUGUCUUUUAAAUAAAGACUAGAAUGAAUGGCCAAACGAGGCUCUACCUGUCUCUUACAAAUAAUCAGUGAAAUUGAUCUUCCCGUGCAAAAGCGGGGAUAACACUAUAAGACGAGAAGACCCUGUGGAACUUCAAAUAUAAAAUCAACUAUCACCAACACCCACCCACGGGCCUUAUACCAAAUAGCACCUGAUUUUUAUUUUCGGUUGGGGCGACCUCGGAACAAAACAAAACCUCCGAAAAAUAAAAAACCCUUUAAACCUAGAACAACAGUUCAAAGUGCUUCCGGCAAAACGAUCCAAUACACUUGAUCAACGAACCAAGCUACCCCAGGGAUAACAGCGCAAUCCCAUCCUAGAGUCCCUAUCGACGAUGGGGUUUACGACCUCGAUGUUGGAUCAGGACAUCCUAAUGGUGUAGCCGCUAUUAAGGGUUCGUUUGUUCAACGAUU
rnacentral:rRNA from 2 species